GACGAACGCUGGCGGCGUGCUUAACACAUGCAAGUCGAACGAAGAGCGAUGGAAGCUUGCUUCUAUCAAUCUUAGUGGCGAACGGGUGAGUAACGCGUAAUCAACCUGCCCUUCAGAGGGGGACAACAGUUGGAAACGACUGCUAAUACCGCAUACGAUCUAACCUCGGCAUCGAGGAUAGAUGAAAGGUGGCCUCUACAUGUAAGCUAUCGCUGAAGGAGGGGAUUGCGUCUGAUUAGCUAGUUGGAGGGGUAACGGCCCACCAAGGCGAUGAUCAGUAGCCGGUCUGAGAGGAUGAACGGCCACAUUGGGACUGAGACACGGCCCAGACUCCUACGGGAGGCAGCAGUGGGGAAUCUUCCGCAAUGGACGAAAGUCUGACGGAGCAACGCCGCGUGAGUGAUGACGGCCUUCGGGUUGUAAAGCUCUGUUAAUCGGGACGAAAGGCCUUCUUGCGAAUAGUUAGAAGGAUUGACGGUACCGGAAUAGAAAGCCACGGCUAACUACGUG
rnacentral:rRNA from 1 species